GCAAGUGCCGUUGACAGAAUGCAGGCGGGAAGCUUCAGUUUGGGUAGAGAUGUAGCAUCAAACAUUCACGGAUGUCCAGGGAGCACGGGCACACAGGCUGCUGGCCAGAGGUACUAGGAAGGUACAGGCGGGAGUUCGACGAGGACGCACCUUCCCCUGUCUUGGAAAGGAGGCUGCUCACAGCGCUGCUGGACUCUUUAAGCCCUGAGGUCAUGUGAAAAGAAGUUUGCCCUGUGUCCUUCUGUCUCCUGUUGGCUGUCCACAAAAUGGAGAAGGCGGAAGCAACCUGAGGCGUCCUCUUUGUCUGUAAAGAUAGAGAGUCCAUUGUGGAAGGGGGAGAUACAGGAACUAUAUAGGCGAGGCUCUACCGGACUGCAUCUCUUAUCUCCAGAAUUCUUUUACAGAAAAGAAAAAAAUAAACUUUUAUCUGGCUUAAGCCACUACUGUUUCUGGGCUCUGUUACUAGCUGCCAAAUGCAAAUCUUAACUGAUAGAAAAGUCCUUGACGGAGUUUGAGCUGGUGAAUGGAUGCUGCCUGUUCAGUGGCUCUGCAGUGGUGGAUCUGUGGGAGUGGAGCAUCCUGGAGGGUAUCAGGAGAUAAAGAUGGCUUGGCAGAUGGGGGCAGACAGUGAGAAUACACCUCACAAGGUGUCACGGACUUUCUUUUCCCCCAGGACACCUCUGCUGAAGUACUGUUAUACAGUGGCUCUUUAAACGUCUAUUGAUGGAGUAAUUUGAAGUCCGCUCCUGUCAGCUGGCCUCAAAGCUGGGCUAUUUAGAAGAUGCGUACUCUUUGUGCCUAAAAAAAAGAGCAGCAGGUAAAGAAUGGAGCGGGAAGGGGUAUCAGCAUUACAGGAAAGUCAAGUGACUCCCUGCAGGCGUCUCCAAGGAAAGGACUUUGUUACACGUGAUUGUCUAAUGAAAAUACAUCAAAGUCUAAUGAAGAUAUCCUUUACUGAGUAGCAACUGUAAAUAAUGUCCCAGAUGUACAUCCUUCUGUAGCUUAUAGCAUGAAUUCAUAUACUACCUAUUUCUAAUUUAUUAUUUUCAUAAUAACUUCAUCAUCGUAAGAUUAGGCAAGACUGUUCCAUUUUACGUUAGAAGGACAUUUACUGUUUAUAUGGAUUAUAAAAAUAUGAACAGACUCCGGUUCUAGCUCAUUCUGUAAUCCAAGUACUUGUGAGCCAGAGGCAGAAAGACAGUUGUGAGUUUAAGGUCAGGUGACUGUGGGUGACAUAGUCCAGGGACCAGGGGGCUGCAGGGUUAGACCUUCCUCUCAAAAAAAAAAAAAAAAAAAAAAAAAAAAAAAAAAAAAACAAAAAAAGUUCAGUUACACAGCACAACUACUAAAGCAACAUAAAAGAGAGUAGCUUGGCCCCAUGUAACGAAGGAUUUUACCAUCUUUUUCUAUUGUGUAAGAAACUGUAAGUCCAGAGCCAGGGAGACAGCUCAUCAGGCAAAACUGCUUGCCACAAACCUGACAGCCUGGGUGUGAUCCCUGGAACUGACCCCUGAGAAGGGUCCUCUGCCUUCCUCACUUGUACCUUGGCACCCACAUGUCAUUCACACAUCACACAUCACACACACACACACACACACCAAUAAAUAAUAAUAGUAAAUUCAAUCUUAAUUCCAGAGCAUAGAUCUCUUGUCAACUAAAUGUAUUAACUUACUAUUUCCUUCCUUCCUUCCUUCCUUCCUUCCUUCCUUCCUUCCUUUCUUUUUUUGUUUUUUCGAGACAGGGUUUCACUGUAUAGCCCUGGAUAUCCUGGAAUUCACUUUGUAGACCAGGCUGGCCUCGAACUCAGAAAUCCGCCUGCCUCUGCCUCCCGAGUGCUGGGAUUAAAGGUGUGCGCCACCAUGCCCGACACUAUUCCAUUUCUUUUUUUCUUUCUUAAAACUUAGUUGGGGGCUGGAGAGAUAGCUCAGCAGUUAGAGCACCGGUUGCUCUUCCAGAGGACCUACAUUCCACUCCCAGCACCCACAUGGCAGAUCAUAGCCAUCUAUAUAACUCCAGUUCUAACCCUGGGCACCAGACGUGAGCAUGGUACACAGAUAUGCAUGUAGAAAAAAAACCCAUAUGCAUAAGAUAAAUGAAGCUUUUAAAAGUAUAUGUUGGGACUCUAAGGUUCCUUUCAAACUUGGCAUGGAUAAAUAAUCAGAAGCCUCACAAUUCACCUUCAUAUCUCAACUCCAUUAAAGCUGUGGCCUUCAGCCUUUCUCUCCACCUCGGGGAGGACAGAUGUUACCUGAAAUAUCUUUUUUUUUUUUCCUGAGACAGGGUUUCUCUGUGUAGCCCUGGCUGUCCUGGAACUCACUCUGUAGACCAGGCUGGCCUCGAACUCAGAAAUCUGCCUGCCUCUGCCUCCCGAGUGCUGGGAUUAAAGGCGUGCGCCACCACUGCCCGGCCUGAAAUAUUUUUUUAAUUAAUUAUGUCUCCUUGUCCUUUGCCUUGAUUUUGUCAAAAUAACGUGUAAGAAUUCAACCACUACUGACUAUUCAGGUACGGAUCUCUACACUUUUGCCAAAGGAUUGUUUGGGUAAUUUUAAUUCUUUCUUAUUUCUCAUGUGUGUGUGGGGGGUGGGUGGGGGGGUGGUGGGUGUGUAUGUGUGUGUGUGGUUGUUGCUUGUUUUUGUUUCUCUCUUUCUUUUUCCUUUUUAAAAAUGCAGUCUUGCUAUGUAGUGCCUGUUAGCCUGCUACUUACUAUGCAGCCCAUAACUCUUGGCGAUCCUCCUGCAUCAGCAAGUUUCACAGUCUUAGGUCACCAUGCCCAGCUUCAACUAUUAGGGUUUGACUGGUACUUCUCUGAAGUUCCUGGGUUGCAUUUUGUAAGAUCUGCACUGAGGAGAAAGACGCUGAAGCCUGCCAUCUGCCGCACAGACUUUGUUUUCUCCGGUUAAACGGUAACGAUGCUGCUAUGUGUGGGGCACCGUGUGCCAGCAGCUGAGUGGCUGGCUCGUAUUCUAACCCCAAUGAAGACUCUGGGAAGCAGCUGUAUUGGUGAAGAAACCGUUUCGGAGCUGUGGCUCAAGGCUGCAGAGAGCAGCUGAGCAAGGGCAGUUUAAGGUCUUGCUGACUCCUGUGUGGCUCAGAGGGUGACCUGUCAUUCUUAUAAAUAAUCUGGAGGAGAACAAGGCCAACUGUCUCCGUGCGACACUUGAUCCCACAUUUAUCCUUUCAGGCUGCCAAACUGAAAGACCUUAUGGUGAUUAAAUAUUUCUGGCCAGCAAUGCCCUGCCACUUUAUUGAAAAACGAUAGCCUGAUAUCUUCUAUAAUUUUUUUUUUUUUCUGUUGAGACAAGGUCUCAUGCAGUCCAGGCCAGUCUUGAAUUCACUGUGUAGCCAAGGUCGACCUUCAGUUUCUGAUCCCCCUGCCUCCUUCUUCUAAGUACCAAAGCUAAAGGUGUGCCCAGAUUGUCAUGCCAUGGCUUUGUGCGUGCUAGGUAAGUGUUCUAACUGAACCACAUCUAUAGCUCUGAAACUGUUUCCAUAAAAACAAAUGUUCUGUAUCAGCGUUAGCUAUGGUGGACAAGCUGCCCCAAGGCACCAUAGUUCAUUGGUAAUGCAUUGCAGAGGGGCUGGAGAAAUGGCUCAGCGGUAAAGAACACUGACUGCUCUUCGGAAGGUCCUGAGUUCAAAUCUCAGCAACCACAUAGUGGCUCAUAACCAUCUGUAAUGAGAUCUGACGCCCUCCUCUGGUGUGUCUGAAGACAGCUACAGUGUACUUACAUAUAAUAAUAAAUAAAUCUUUAAAAAAAGAACACAGUAAAAAACAAAACGACACACACACACACACACACACACACAUACAAUGCAUUGCAGAGGGUCCACCCUUUUCAUUGGAUGGACAAGGCUCUGCUUCAUGGGGAUGAUGGUAGGGAUGGGAGCUGUCUGAAUGCCAAACAGUAAUAAAUCAAACAAAUGACAAACCACACACACAAACACACACACACACACACACACACACACUACCCCCCCAAAGAAAAACCAAAAUUAAAUGAAUUAAAAAACAGGACCGGUAAGAUAGGUCAGUUGGUAAAAGUGCUUGCUGCUGGAACCCCAUCGGAGAGGGCAAGAACCCAUUCCUAAAGGUUGUCCUCUGAAUUCUCUGUGCAGAACACUACAGAACACACCUUUGUCUGUGCCUCAGUCUCUUCUGAAGCACACAGAAUAACAUCACUUUAUUUGGCAGGGGUGGAGGUGGGCAGCAAGCUACUGUAAACCAGGUUUGGGAAAUCUCUUCUCAAAGGACAGGCCAUGUUGCGGUAAGAGAAGUAUGCUAGCUCAUAGAAGCUUGGGUGUGAAAGUUCUUUGUAUUUUCUAAGGUUUUUAGAGCAGAGCUGGAGAUAUGAGAUUUUAAUGUAGAACUGAAGCCCUAGGGCUAAGAGAAAGGAGAAUGCACUGGAAGAAAGGAAAGUGCAACCAAGAACCAAGGUGUGGGCUUCUCAAACAUUGCCUUCUUCCAGGGCAGAGAAGGCCCAGAUCAGGGCCAUGUAUCUGCAGAGGCCCAUAGGCAAGCCUGUGGUGUAUUUUCUCGGUUGAUGUGGAAGGGCCCAGCAUGUGGUAGUGGUUCUGAGUUCUAUGAGAACAAGAGAAGAUAAAAAACAAAACAAAACAAAACAAAAACGCACACAGGUAAACAUUCCCUGUCUAGGGAACUGAUAGAAAAUGUUGUCAGUUAUUUGUCUGUAUUUUUUUAGUUGAAAUUUUAUCUUAUUUAUGUGUAUGUAUCUCUGGGUGUCUGCCACUUGUAUUUGGAUGGUCACGUAGAUCAGAGAAGGCAUCAGAGCCCCUGAAGCUGGAGUUCUAGGCAAUUCUGAGCAGCCCAGUGUCAUUGCUGAAAACUGAACUUGGCCCCUCUAGAAGAGCAGCCUGUGCUCUUAACUGCUGGGCUACCUCUCCAGUCCCCAUUUGUGUAUAUUUUGAUAUUACUUAUUUAUUAAUUUAUUUUUGUUUGUUUGUCUUCAAGGCAGGGUUUCUCUAUGCAGCCCUGGCUAUCCUGGAACUCGCUCUGUAAAGCAGGCUGGCCUCUGACUCAAGAGCUGUACUUUCCUCUUCUUCCCAAGUGCUGGGACUAAAGGUGUGCACCCCACCCCCCACCCCGGCUGAUUUUAUUUAUUUAUUUUGUAAGUAUCUAUUGUUUUUAUUAUUGUAUGUGAAUGGGUGUUUUAUGUAUACAUGUUACAUGUAUCCACUACUUGCAUGCAGUGCCUGAGGAAGCCAGAAGAGGGCAUCAAAUCCCCUGCAACUGGAGUUAAGAGUUGAAUCUGGGUCCUCUGGAAGAACAGCAGAUGCUCUUAACUGCUGGAUUAUCUCUCCAGCCAUUGUCUCCCCACCCCACCCCGCCCCAGACAGGGUUUCUCUGUGUAGCUCUGGCUGUCCUGGAACUCACUCUGUAGACCAGGCUGGCCUUGAACUCAGAAAUCUGCCUGCNNNNNNNNNNNNNNNNNNNNNNNN
ensembl:lincRNA Lockd lncRNA downstream of Cdkn1b